GAUGAACGCUGGCGGCGUGCUUAACACAUGCAAGUCGAACGGAAAGGCCAGUGCUUGCACUGGUGCUCGAGUGGCGAACGGGUGAGUAACACGUGGGUGAUCUGCCCUGCACUUUGGGAUAAGCCUGGGAAACUGGGUCUAAUACCAGAUAGGACCAUGCUUUGGAUGGUGUGGUGGAAAGUUUUUUCGGUGUGGGAUGAGCUUGCGGCCUAUCAGCUUGUUGGUGGGGUAAUGGCCUACCAAGGCGUCGACGGGUAGCCGGCCUGAGAGGGUGUACGGCAACAUUGGGACUGAGAUACGGCCCAGACUCCUACGGGAGGCAGCAGGGGGGAAUAUUGCACAAUGGGCGCAAGCCUGAUGCAGCGACGCCGCGUGGGGGAUGACGGCCUUCGGGUUGUAAACUCCUUUCGCAACUGACGAAGCUUUUUGUGACGGUAGGUUGAGAAGAAGCACCGGCUAACUACGUG
rnacentral:rRNA from 1 species